AUUUGUCAUCGAUAAUCAACUCCUCGAAUUUCGCCUCUUCUAUCUGAACCCCAAACAACUCGUCCUCUACCUCUUCAUUCAGCUCCAACUCAUCAUCAAAAUUAACCCCAUGCAGCUCAAAUUUACUGUAGUCAAAAUUAGCCUCUUCUUUUACGAUUACAAUAGACAGUCGAAUUGGCGGGAAACCUCGAGAUUCGAGCCGUUGGUUAGGGUUUGGAUGAUAUUCUUGCAUGGGGUCGAGAGUGAUCUUUGGGCAUAAAUUUGUUGUUGGGAUGGUAGGGAGUCGAUCCCGCGAGACCGAGUUUUGAUACCAAGUUAAGUGACCAGUGGCGCCUCGGUUUCUACGGAAUCCUGGUGUUCUUCAUAAAAGUUAUGCAUCAAAGACAAUUUUCAAUGGGCACCUCAGUACUACACCACUUGCUAUGUACGAAGAAAGAAAUAGCAGGUUCUCUCUGGGACAUUUAUAGUACCAUGGAUCGGCAGAGCAGCAAUCCAGACCUGCAGGAAGUAGUGUAAUGUAAAAGAGAUGGCUGUAUAAAGGUAUACCUGUAGUAAUCCUGAACUUGUGUUAUCAAGCUUUGUAACUUUGGUGGAAUUUCCUAUUAAGAAAUGUGAGCUUCUGUAGUAAAUUGUAAAGUUAGAUCUUUUAUGGGGCAAGGAUCAAAAGAAUGAUGACACUGACAGCCACUGGAUACUUAAUCACUGAAAGGGAUCAAAAGAAAAGCGGAUGUGAUGCAGGCAUGCAACUUCUAUGGCUGAAUGUUUUAAAUAUUCUUUAUCACAGAGAAGCAGAGAUAUCUUGAAAAUCUGGUAAAUCUUCUGUCAGAUACGGUGCAUGUAAAUAAAUUUCAUGGCCCUUCUAUUUUAAAAUAUGAUAUAUAACUUGUUCCUUUGAGUGGUUGUGAUUGUGGAUAGUGAGAAUCUUGAGCUUUAAGUCUCUCUCUCAAAUUAUAUACAACUAAUACAAGUGGCUGUAUAUGUAGACAGUAUGCUUUCCAGAGGUGGUUGUGUUCUGUUUCAGGCUGGAAAGAAGAGGGGGAUUGGUGUAAAGGAAGUUGUCAUCUUGUGCAGUGUUGAGAGCAGGAUCCAAGAGACCAUGUCAGAGAAAAAAGGAGGAAGGGGUUGUUUCUUGGGAAAUGUAAAUCUUCUGAUAUGUCUUUAUAAUGCAUUGCAUCAUCAAUAGAGGUUUGUUUUCUUACCACUCUUUUGAUGCAUAAUCAACUGUAGAACCUUAACUAAGUUUUCGAAAUUUUCGAAAUUAUCUCUUAAAACAGGAGACAACCUCAGAAACUGUUGUGGCCUAUGCUGGAAAAAUAUCACAAUUCAUGUGGUCCUUACUCCAGCUAAUCUCCUUCUUUUCACAGCCAACAAGUCAUAUACAUCUAAUGUUUUUUCUUUCAAAGAGGUAAUCUUGAACUCCUAGUAGGGACUAUGAACUCACCUUCACACCACACUUUUGUCCAAUGGUCAUUUCCUCUUCUUCAAUAUGUUUCAACUUGAUUGUUUUGUCAAUUUCCUUGCCAGUCAAGCUGGCUACAACCUAAUUUAUCAAGUACAUUUCCUCUAUUGUGCCAAUUUCUUUACAAGGCAUUUAUACUUCGAGGACAAAACCCAAUUUGGUGGGCUGUUCACUAAUAACCACCUACGUAGAUUUUAAUUCAGAUUACCUAUAGUAUCAACACCUAUAAGCCUAGGUACAGUAGGUCAGUAGGGGAGUAGUUGAAGUACAAAAUUUAAGUAAAUGACUUGUUUCAGACUUGCAUUCAAUCUAAACUUCAACUAGAUCUCAUGAUAAUGAUCCAUGAUUAUGAGUUAAGUCAUCGAUAAUCGCCAACUCAAUGAUAAGCCUUUCGAGUACGUGUGAACUGAGUUCUUGUGCAUGAAAUGAGCCCCAGACCAGCUGUAUUGUACUGUUUCACUGAGGAAAAUGACAGUAUAGUAUUUCCUUUGCAUGCCUUUGUCAUGUUUUGGAGCAUAGUUGGCUGUUGAUUUGUGUAUGUCUGGUUUUUAUUGGUGGGGUUAAAUGAGUUCUUACAUUUUUGUAUUGUGAUUUCACCUUUUAUAUGCAUCAGUGUACUAGGUUUUUCAUUUGUUUAUUGUAUUUAUUUUCUUUUAUGUU